GACGAACGCUGGCGGCGUGCCUAAUACAUGCAAGUAGAACGCACAGGUUAUACCGUAGCUUGCUACACCAUAGACUGUGAGUUGCGAACGGGGGAGUAACGCGUAGGUAACCUGCCUGGUAGCGGGGGAUAACUAUUGGAAACGAUAGCUAAUACCGCAUAAUAUUAAUUAUUGCAUGAUAAUUAAUUGAAAGGUGCAAUUGCAUCACUACCAGAUGGACCUGCGUUGCAUUAGCUAGUAGGUGAGGUAACGGCUCACCUAGGCGACGAUACAUAGCCGACAUGGUAGGGUGGUCGGCCACACUGGGACUGAGACCCGGCCCAUAGUCCUACGGGAAGGAGCAAGAGGGAAACUUCAGGAAUGGGCGGAAGUCUGACCGCGCAACGCCGCAGGAGUGAAGAAGGUUUUCGGGUCGUAAAGCUCUGUUGUAAGGGAAGAACGGGUGUGAGAGUGGAACGUUCACACUGUGACGGUAUCUGACAAGAAAGGAACGGCUAACUACGUG
rnacentral:rRNA from 1 species